rnacentral:rRNA from 1 species
UACGUAGGGGGCAAGCGUUGUCCGGAUUUAUUGGGCGUUAAAGAGCGUGUAGGGCGGUUAGGUAGGUCCGUUGUGAAAACUCGAGGCUCAACCUCGAGACGCCGAUGGAAACCAUCUGACUAGAGUCCGGAAGAGGAGAGUGGAAUUCCUGGUGUAGCGGUGGAAAUGCGCAGAUAUCAGGAAGAACACCCGUGGCUAAGGCGGCUCUCUAGUACGGUACUGACGCUGAGACGGCGAAAGCGUGGGGAGCGAACAGG